GUGCUCACUUUGGCAACACAUAUACUAAAAUUGGAACGAUACAAAGAUUAGCAUGGCCCCUAGGCAAGGAUGACAUACAAAUGUGUGAAGCAUUCUAUAUUUUU